UACGGAGGGUGCGAGCGUUGUCCGGAAUCACUGGGCGUAAAGGGCGCGUAGGUGGCACGGGUAGUCGUCGGUGAAAGCUCAGGGCUCAACCCUGAGUCGGCCGGUGAUACUCCCGAGCUCGAGUGUGGUAGAGGCCAAUGGAAUUCCGGGUGUAGCGGUGGAAUGCGUAGAGAUCCGGAAGAACACCAGUGGCGAAGGCGGCCCGCUGGGCAGUGGCUGACGCUGAGGCGCGACAGCGUGGGGAGCAAACAGG
rnacentral:rRNA from 1 species